CAGGUGUUCACGAAAUUACUCACAUGCUCAAAAUGGUGUAUAACUGGAAUCACCUGGAAAAAAUGAACAACAAUUGGAAAAUCUACUUGAUAGAGAUCUGGAGAGGCAUCCUCAAAUGAUACUGGCUUGAAGAUGCCUAUGUUUCCAUGAGGGUAAGCAAGAAAAAAAGAGUGAAUAGUUCUUGGCAGCUACUUUUUAUAAGGUCAGAACGCAAGGGCAAAGAAGAACCAACGCAGUUGUAUCGGUAGCAAGUGUGAGUGGAGGCCAAGCUCGAAAAAAAGAAGGAACAUUCUCUGCUGGCU